ACCAACAGUAGCUUGCUCAGUGGUUGGAAGGAGAGCAACAGAUAUGCAGAAAAGCAAUCAGGAAGAAAGCAAAAGCUCUUUGGUCUGUUCUGUCCCCUCUUCUGGCUGCUGUCACAAAGCUGUUGGGAUGAUAGAGGUGGUCAACCCCAUGCGUGAUUCUCCCUCUCUGCCUGCCCUGGCCUGGACCAGAAGGCACACUGUAAAUGCUGGCUCUCAGUCUGUGGGCGCUCGUCCUGCUCACAUCUGAGUAUCUCUGAGUCAACAAAGGCUCAUCUAACAUCAGCAAAUUUUCCUCCUUUGAGAACAUGUAGAUGCAUCCUGGUCCAGGCGAUGCUGUGGAGCUUUCCCAAAUUCUCUGGAGCUGCUUUUAUAAUUCAUCAAGGUUCAUCCCAGCAUGCUGGAGCUCAGCGGGAUGGGGCCUGGUGCUGGAUUUCAGCAUGGUGGUGCACAGCCCUGCUGGGGUGGGACAUUCUGGUGCUUUGGCUUCCUCCAGUGAUGCCUUGCGUACUAGGAGCACAGUGACUGCUCCUUCUAGAAGUACCUAUUUCUGUCCUUUUUCUUUUAUGCCUCUGCUGCAGAGUAAUGCAUGGGGGAAGAGGGGAAAGAGGAGAAAGAAAACUACAAAAAUGCAUCAUAUUUCAUCAGCAUUGCUUAACAUAGAUGUGAGGUCAAAAGCCAGUGCUGCAGCCCCAAACCAGUUAUCUAUAAGGUGGGGACUUAUCUAUGAGCUUUGGCAGUCUCUACGUUGUGCUGAUCUCCCUUCCUCUUUGUCUUUUCAGAUGUUUGCAGCAUCCAUCCCCAGCUUUUGAAGGAGCUGCUCAGCUGACAAUUUCUCACUUGUUCCACCAGUAUUGUGCUGGCUGCCUCCCAGUCUUGCAUUAGGCUCCUCAUGCUUCCUCUUACUGCAUUUCUGCUAUAUGUAAAUACACACAAAUACUGAGGGAAGUCAAGUGACUGGACGCAAGGUUCAUCUCCUGAGUGCUGCUGCUUUUCCUUGGCUUUGCUGGAGGGUUUUUGUUUUGUUUUGUUUUUUGUUUUUGUAUGUUUUGUAUAUUUUUGUUUGUUUCUCCAACUUCUUCACCUUGUACUUUGAAGACGGACGGCAGCACAUGUCUUUGUUUGGCUGUGAUGUCAGCACCUUCAUGUCCUGCAUGAGUAUUUCCUGUCAGUCUGUCCCUGCUUCUUCCCUGUGUGCUCUGCUGCAGCUCCGUAGGCAGCUCAUGGACAACAGCCUAACAAGGUUACCACACUGCUACACCAAAAGCUAUCCAGAGAAAUGAAAAGCCUGCAACAUGAGUUCACGCUGCUAACAAGAUGAGUAUUGUCAGGAAUACACAAACUGUGGUUUUUCCCUUUCUGCAUCCUGAAAGUGAAGAAAAAGGACCUUUGAUAUAUGCGAAGCUCUGUUAUUCUUUUUUCUUCUUUGAGCUAAUAAAAG